UAGUGGCGAACGGGUGAGUAACACGUGGGCAAUCUGCCCUUCACUCUGGGACAAGCCCUGGAAACGGGGUCUAAUACCGGAUAACACCUGCCCGGGCAUCCGGGUGGGUUAAAAGCUCCGGCGGUGAAGGAUGAGCCCGCGGCCUAUCAGCUUGUUGGUGAGGUAGUGGCUCACCAAGGCGACGACGGGUAGCCGGCCUGAGAGGGCGACCGGCCACACUGGGACUGAGACACGGCCCAGACUCCUACGGGAGGCAGCAGUGGGGAAUAUUGCACAAUGGGCGAAAGCCUGAUGCAGCGACGCCGCGUGAGGGAUGACGGCCUUCGGGUUGUAAACCUCUUUCAGCAGGGAAGAAGCGAAAGUGACGGUACCUGCAGAAGAAGCGCCGGCUAACUACGUGCCAGCAGCCGCGGUAAUACGUAGGGCGCAAGCGUUGUCCGGAAUUAUUGGGCGUAAAGAGCUCGUAGGCGGCUUGUCACGUCGGGUGUGAAAGCCCGGGGCUUAACCCCGGGUCUGCAUUCGAUACGGGCUAGCUAGAGUGUGGUAGGGGAGAUCGGAAUUCCUGG
rnacentral:rRNA from 1 species